GCGGUCGUGGCGGAACUGGCAGACGCGCUAGUUUCAGGUACUAGUGCUCGCAAGGGCGUGGAGGUUCAAGUCCUCUCGACCGCACCA
rnacentral:tRNA from 1 species